rnacentral:rRNA from 1 species
UCAGACGAUGCGUCAUGCAUAUCAAUAAGCGGAGGAAAAGAAACUAACAAGGAUUCCCCUAGUAACGGCGAGUGAAGCGGGAAGAGCUCAAAUUUGAAAUCUUAAAGGGUUUCCCUUUACGAAUUGUAGUUUAAAGAAGUGUUUUCUGUUGAGGUUUUGGUAAAAGUUCUUUGGAAUAGGACAUCAUAGAGGGUGAGAAUCCCGUAUUUGACCUUUACUUUCAACUUUGUGAUACACUUUCAAAGAGUCGGAUUGUUUGGGAAUGCAGUCCAAAAUGGGUGGUAAAUUUCAUCUAAAGCUAAAUAUUGGCGAGAGACCGAUAGCGAACAAGUACCGUGAGGGAAAGAUGAAAAGAACUUUGAAAAGAGAGUUAAACAGUACGUGAAAUUGUCAAAAGGGAAGCGUUUGACACCAGUGUUGUUUUUCUGAAAAUCAAUUAAAGAACUGUUUAUGCUAAGUUGUUUAGACUUUAUCAGCUAUCUGUUUAGUUUUGAGCUUUUCUUUAAUGCACUUUUCAGUUAACAAGUCAACAUCAAUUUCUUUUGCUGUAAAAAAGCUUGAGGAGGGUGGCUUGAGAUUCGUCUUAAGUGUUUAUAGCCUCUUGCCUAUGCAGUCGGAGAGAUUGAGGUCUGCAGCGUAGAUCCUUCGGGGCUAAAUGCAUUUGUGCUAAGUUAUAGCAUUUUAUAGACAACUUGUUGACUAUGAUUUGUCUUGUAGCUUACUCGCUUAUGUUAUUUUACCUACGCUUAGGAUGUUGAGCGCAUGUCUCUCUCU